rfam:Halobacillus karajensis, HD-03, WGS project CCDI01000000 data, contig: 000001
ACUACGUUUUAAAUGAGUCCAGAGAGGCUCGAAAAGGUGUACUAGGGAUUGGCUCGUUUGUCAUGCAGCGAGUCAAGCACCCCCAGACACCUGGGGGUGCUUUUUUUCU